CAGGAUGAUUAAUGGAGAAGGGACGGGACCCGAAAGAAACUUUGUACCCACUGAUAAAAUUCCUCUCAGAGGCCCCGUGUACAAGCACACCCAGGUCUCGUUACACCUCCCUUUUUUCAAAUCUGAUACUAUUCAGGUAGCGAACACUCUGGGAUCAUGGCUGCCUCCGAAUUACAUCAAAACAAUAGCAAGGUUUCCAAGGAAUAAAGCCACAUUAAAAUAAAAGCAUGUGGAGGUGCAUUUGUGCAAAUGAAAAGCCCCUUGCAUCAGCGGGAGUAAGUAUUUUUGUAAUUUCCUGUUGUUGCAUUGCAUUUACAAAAUUUGGAUUUGUAUUCAUGAUAUAUUUUGGAAUUUUGCUUUUCCUUGUAUAAAAUAAUGUGUGGACUACAAUCACUUGCUUAUAGAAGAGUGGGAAGAGAUAAGUAACUGGGAAAAUCUCCGUUAUAAGAACGUGAAGCGGAACUAUGAAGCCAUGCUCGUCAUUGGUUUGGAGAAAAUAUUCUUCACAUUUUUUCCUCUUUGCCCUUUUCACGUGAUGCACGCUGACAUGAGUUUUCUUCCCACAUGAAAUGUAAGUAGGUUUGUGCUUUCUGACACCAUAUGGGUCAGGUCCGAACAUUUCACUCCACUGGUUUACUUUGAGAAUAUGCCUGAGGAUAUUGGACAUUCCUGUUCUUUGAUAACAUAACUUCUAUUGGCUUCUGCUCUGUCUUCACCUCCCUGUAAUUAACACAACAGCAUCUUCUGUGUCUCCUUCUCGGGACAGCAUAUUUAAGAUUGGAUUUUGGCUGUGGCUGGGAACAUCUCCUGCCUUUCAACUGACUUUACUGAUCACUUCACAUUCUGUCUUCACGUGAUGAGUGUUAACCACUGUUGCCCACUUCACCUUUGCCUCUGUGUUCGAGGUUUGUGAACUGUGCCAGAUAGGAGGAGAAACAGGACCUUGUUGCCUUCCAGCACCGGGGAAACAUUGACUGUCAUCCCUGCCCUCACUGCACUGUUGCAUUUACCACAGCGGAGUUCCUUAUACAACACUUAAGAAGGCAUCAUGAAGCUUCCAGACCAACGUCAGCUGGACAGCCUUCUGCCUCCGGUGUGAACCCAGAUUCACAAUGUAAACGAGGGCAGAGUCCGUUCACUCCAUCUGACGGAAGGAGUGGAAUUGGGAAAUCAGGUGAUCUUCAAGCACGGACAAAGGAGAGAUGGCAUGAAUGUGCAGAAUGUGGGAAGAGCUUCACAUGAGCAGGGACCCUCCACCAACACCAACGGACCCACACCGGACGGAGAGAGGCCGUGUAAAUGUUCACACUGUGGGAAGAGCUUCACAUGAGCAGGGACCCUCCACCUACACCAGCGGACCCACACCGGAGAGAGGCCGUACAAAAGCACAGUCUGGAAGAAGAGUUUCAGAGUCCAGCUCCCUCCAUCGACACCAGAGGACCCACGGGGUCAAGGAAAGAGCAUUCACGUCGCGGCCCUGUUUUCACCAAUCUUUCCACCACCACGCAUAAGAAGCACAAGACAGACGCCAUUGUAUGCAGAUGCCAAGACGUGUGUCCAGCACUGGCUGAACAAGUUCUAAUCUUGUGUGUGGACUCGAUAAGAAGAACCACCCACACGGGAUAGAGGCUGUAGGAAGUUUCACAGACUGCAUGAAUGUGCAGAAUAUGGGAAGAGCUUCACAUGAGCAAGGACCCUUCACCUACACCAGCAGACCCACACCAGAGAGAGGUAGUGUAAAUGUUCACACUGUGGGAAGAGCUCCACAUACUGAGGGGCGUCCAGAAACACCAGCGGACCCACACUGGUUCUCAGAGUUCAUUAUAACUCACAAAUCUGGUACCCUUGGGAGUUUGGUGCUGGAUGGCAGAUUUUCCAGGCUAUUGCAUGUUUUAUUAUUAGUCCACCUACAUUGUUUAGUUUAGUUUAGAGAGCCCAUCGAGUCUGCACUGACCAGCGAUCCCCACAUAUUAACAUUAUCCUACACACAC